rnacentral:rRNA from 1 species
GAUGAACGCUGGCGGCGUGCCUAAUACAUGCAAGUCGAGCGAACAGAUGAGGCGCUUGCUCCUCUGACGUUAGCGGCGGACGUGUGAGUAACACGUGGAUAACCUACCUAUAAGACUGGGAUAACUUCGGGAAACCGGAGCUAAUACCGGAUAAUAUAUUGAACCGCAUGGUUCAAUAGUGAAAGACGGUUUUGCUGUCACUUAUAGAUGGAUCCGCGCCGCAUUAGCUAGUUGGUAAGGUAACCGCUUAUCAAGGCAACGAUGCGUAGCCGACCUGACUGGGUGAUACGCCACACUGGAACUGAGACACGGUCCAGACUCCUACGGGAGGCAGCAGUAGGGAAUCUUCCGCAAUGGGCGAAAGCCUGACGGAGCGACGCCGAGUGAGUGAUGAAGGUCUUCGGAUCGUAAAACUCUGUUAUUAGGGAAAAACAAAUGUGUAAGUAACUAUGCACGUCUUGACGGUACCUAAUAAGAAAGCCACGGCUAACUACGUG